AUUGAACGCUGGCGGCAUGCUUUACACAUGCAAGUCGAACGGUAACAGGCCUUCGGGUGCUGACGAGUGGCGCACGGGUGAGUAAUGCAUCGGAACGUGCCCAGAGGUGGGGGAUAACGCAGCGAAAGCUGUGCUAAUACCGCAUGUGAUCUGAGGAUGAAAGCGGGGGACCAGGCAGCAAUGUUUGGCCUCGCGCCUUUGGAGCGGCCGAUGUCAGAUUAGGUAGUUGGUGGGGUAAAGGCCUACCAAGCCGACGAUCUGUAGCUGGUCUGAGAGGACGACCAGCCACACUGGGACUGAGACACGGCCCAGACUCCUACGGGAGGCAGCAGUGGGGAAUUUUGGACAAUGGGCGCAAGCCUGAUCCAGCAAUGCCGCGUGCGGGAAGAAGGCCUUCGGGUUGUAAACCGCUUUUGUACGGAACGAAAAGGCUCUGGCUAAUACCUGGGGCUGAUGACGGUACCGGAAGAAUAAGCACCGGCUAACUACGUG
rnacentral:rRNA from 1 species